rnacentral:tRNA from 1 species
GCCCUUGUGGCACAAAUGGUUAAGCGCUUGACUGCUAACCAAAAGGUCGGUGGUUCGAACCCACCUAGUGGCU